CAGUAACCCGUAUUAUAAAUGGCCGAUUAAAUUUUUAAAAAGUUUAAACAUUUGAGUUCGGGUACCCAAUCCGUCUUAAUCGAGUAGGAUCAUGAGCCACUAUUCAUUUUCAGCGGGUACCCGCUGACCCCGUAAAUAUUGAAGAGGACAUUUUUUUUGGUUUCAUAUAAAAGGCCCUAGCUACUGGAGUGCCUACUGGUAAGGCCUUUUGUUUCUAUUUUCAUGAGAUAAAUCACAAAACAAUUGCAAACCCUAGCUAGCUAGCCCCAUUCCAUUUUCAUUUUCAUGAUUUGUUUCUCCUUCAGAUUUCACAUUGUUACUCCUCCAUUUUUUCUUUUUACUUUUUUCACCUUCAAUUUUCUUCACUUUGUUUGUCCUUCAAUUUUCAGUCUCAUCUCAGUAUAAAUUUCAACGUCUUUUCGUUAGUUGUUUUGAUCUCCAAUAGUACGCCAAAUUGGCGCAAGAAUCGAUUUAUCACUCAAGUGCCAAGUACUUUGUUGCAUACAACAGCACCAACCUUCAGAUUACCAAGAUUAAGGCAUCCAUUCAAAGACAAUUGAUACAAAUUCCUUGCUAAAAGAUGCUUUAGCUUUAUAUAUUGAAGACUUUGUAAUUGUGGAUUGUAGAUUAUGAUUUAUUUGGACUUUUAUAAAAAAACUGUUGUAAUUUAAAGUUUGUUCGGGACUUUGUAAAUUAUAUGCUUUGAACAUUAGUAGUUUUUUAUAUAAUAGCUUCAUUUUAAA